rnacentral:rRNA from 1 species
AACGAACGCUGGCGGCAGGCUUAACACGUGCAGGUCGAGCGCCCCGCAAGGGGAGCGGCAGACGGGUGAGUAACGCGUGGGAACGUACCCUUUGCUACGGAAUAGCUCCGGGAAACUGGAAUUAAUACCGUAUGUGCCCUACGGGGGAAAGAUUUAUCGGCAAAGGAUCGGCCCGCGUUGGAUUAGCUAGUUGGUGGGGUAAUGGCCUACCAAGGCGACGAUCCAUAGCUGGUCUGCGAGGAUGAUCAGCCACAUUGGGACUGAGACACGGCCCAAACUCCUACGGGAGGCAGCAGUGGGGAAUAUUGGACAAUGGGCGCAAGCCUGAUCCAGCCAUGCCGCGUGAGUGAUGAAGGCCUUAGGGUUGUAAAGCUCUUUCACCGGAGAAGAUAAUGACGGUAUCCGGAGAAGAAGCCCCGGCUAACUUCGUGCCAGCCGCCGCCGUAAAAC